GACGAACGCUGGCGGCGUGCUUAACACAUGCAAGUCGAACGAAGUGGCGAACGGGUGAGUAACGCGUAGUCAACCUGCCCUUCAGAGGGGGAAAACAGUUGGAAACGAAUGCUAAUACCGCAUACUGAAGGAGGGGAUUGCGUCUGAAUAGCUAGUUGGGGGGGUAACGGCCCACCAAGGCGAUGAUAAGUAGCCGGUCUGAGAGGAUGAACGGCCACAUUGGGACUGAGACAAGGCCCAGACUCCUACGGGAGGGAGGAGGUGGGGAUCUUCCGAAAUGGACGAAAGUCUGACGGAGCAACGCCGCGUGAGUGAUGACGGCCUUCGGGUUGUAAAGCUCUGUUAAGCGGGACGCGGUACCGGAAUAGAAAGCAACGGCUAACUCCGUGCCAGCAGCCGCGGUAAUUC
rnacentral:rRNA from 1 species